CGUUGCCAAGGCGCCGGUUACUAGGUUACCGGGAGGCGCCGGGCGCCCGACUCCCUCCCGGUCAGCCCUUUCAGCCCAGCGCUGCCCUUUCGCCGGUGCGACGGGGCUUCCUGAGGCCGGGGGAAGCAAGAGAGGCCGGGUCACCCCCUGCAGCGGCCAGUCAUCGUUACAAACUAAAGUCCCACGGCGAAAGCCAGUUCCAGCUACCCCCAAAGUUCAAACACUUAGAGUUCGAAGGAACAGAGAGCCUCCAGCGCGGAAAAACCUCGAGGGAAAACAACCCGAAAUGACGGGGCCAGGUCUUGAAUAUAGAUGCCCUAGGAAAAAAAAAGGCUCGAAAUAAGCUGGGAGGCAAAACCUACUCAAGAAUCGGCUGGUGUGACUAUACCCGCGAGGGCUGAUUUCAUGCGUCCACGUGACUGGACUCUGGCCGCCCAGAGAGCCGGAAUAGAAUCAUCUCAUGAAACUGAAGACUUGACAAAGUGUUCUCAGCCUAGUGGUAAAGCACACAGACUUUGGAGUCUCAAACCGCUUUUUAGCUUCAACACUGCUAUGUGUUAUGUGAUCUUGGAUAAAUUAUUUAACUUCUUGAACCUUGAUUUUUCUUGACUAUACAGAGGGGAUAUCAAUAAUACCUAUGUCAUAAGAAUUAUUUCAUAAUUAAAUUUAAUUAAAUUAAAUGAGAUAAAAAUAACAAAAAUAACAACUAAGGAACCUAUGCACUUUGUGUAUAUUAUCUUUUUUUUUUUUUUUAAAGAUGUUAUUUAUUUAUUUGACAGAGAGAGAGAUCACAAGUAGGCAGAGAGGCAGGCAGAGAAAGAGAGGGAAAGCAGGCUCCCUGCCAAGUCAAGAGCCUGACUUGGGGCUGAAUCCCAGGACGCUGACUGAGCCGAAGGCAGAGGCUUUAACCCACUGAGCCACCAAGAUGCCCCUGUACAUAUUAUCUUAUUAUCUUAUUGAAUCUUAUUGAAUAUCUACAUAUUACUUAUUGAAUCUUCAUAACCUAUUUUAUGAAGAGAUUUGUAUCAUAAUACCUAAUUAUUUAAUUACUAAUUACUCAAUAAACAUUAGCAGUUUUCUGUUAGUAUUUUGAUGGGAAUGAAGACUAAUAAGAGAAACAAUGAAAAAACUCGGGAACAUUCUGGUUAUUCUGAGACUAGAUUGGUGAUAUCCCCUGUCCCCCUAUUACACAUAGUCUUGAACCUGAAAUAAACAGAAAAAAGUCA